rnacentral:rRNA from 1 species
UACGUAGGGGGCUAGCGUUGUCCGGAAUCAUUGGGCGUAAAGAGCGCGUAGGCGGCUGGAAUAGUCCGGUGUGAAAUCCACAGGCUUAACCUGUGAAUGCCGCUGGAAACUGUCUGGCUAGAGUCCGGAAGGGGCGAGUGGAAUUCCUGGUGUAGCGGUGAAAUGCGCAGAUAUCAGGAGGAACACCUGCGGUGUAGACGGCUUACUGGACCAUAACUGACGCUGAGGCACGAAAGCGUGGGUAGCAAACAGG